rnacentral:rRNA from 1 species
CUUAACACAUGCAAGUCGAGGGGCAGCAUGGUCUUAGCUUGCUAAGGCCGAUGGCGACCGGCGCACGGGUGAGUAACGCGUACCCAACCUGCCUUACACUCUUGGACAGCCUUCUGAAAGGGAGAUUAAUACAAGAUGUUAUCAUGAGUAAGCAUUUUCGCAUGAUUAAAGGUUUACCGGUGUAAGAUGGGGAUGCGUUCCAUUAGAUAGUAGGCGGGGUAACGGCCCACCUAGUCUUCGAUGGAUAGGGGUUCUGAGAGGAAGGUCCCCCACAUUGGAACUGAGACACGGUCCAAACUCCUACGGGAGGCAGCAGUGAGGAAUAUUGGUCAAUGGACGAGAGUCUGAACCAGCCAAGUAGCGUGAAGGAUGAAGGUUCUAUGGAUUGUAAACUUCUUUUAUACGGGAAUAAACGGAUCCACGUGUGGAUUUUUGCAUGUACCGUAUGAAUAAGGAUCGGCUAACUCCGUGCCAGCAGCCGCGGUAAUACGGAGGAUCCGAGCGUUAUCCGGAUUUAUUGGGUUUAAAGGGAGCGUAGAUGGGUUGUUAAGUCAGUUGUGAAAGUUUGCGGCUCAACCGUAAAAUUGCAAUUGAUACUGGCAGUCUUGAGUACAGUUGAGGUAGGCGGAAUUCGUGGUGUAGCGGUGAAAUGCUUAGAUAUCACGAAGAACUCCGAUUGCGAAGGCAGCUUACUAACCUGUAACUGACAUUGAUGCUCGAAAGUGUGGGUAUCAAACAGGAUUAGAUACCCUGGUAGUCCACACGGUAAACGAUGAAUACUCGCUGUAGGCGAUAUACAGUCUGCGGCCAAGCGAAAGCAUUAAGUAUUCCACCUGGGGAGUACGCCGGCAACGGUGAAACUCAAAGGAAUUGACGGGGGCCCGCACAAGCGGAGGAACAUGUGGUUUAAUUCGAUGAUACGCGAGGAACCUUACCCGGGCUUAAAUUGCAACCGAAUAUGGCGGAAACGCUAUAGCUAGCAAUAGCGGUUGUGAAGGUGCUGCAUGGUUGUCGUCAGCUCGUGCCGUGAGGUGUCGGCUUAAGUGCCAUAACGAGCGCAACCCUUGCCGAUAGUUACUAACAGGUCAUGCUGAGGACUCUGUCGGGACUGCCAUCGUAAGAUGUGAGGAAGGUGGGGAUGACGUCAAACCAGCACGGCCCUUACGUCCGGGGCUACACACGUGUUACAAUGGGGGGUACAGAGGGCUGCUACCACGCAAGUGGAUGCCAAUCCCAAAAACCUCUCUCAGUUCGGAUUGAAGUCUGCAACCCGACUUCAUGAAGCUGGAUUCGCUAGUAAUCGCGCAUCAGCCACGGCGCGGUGAAUACGUUCCCGGGCCUUGUACACACCGCCCGUCAAGCCAUGGGAGCCGGGGGUACCUGAAGUGCGUAACCGCAAGGAGCGCCCUAGGGUAAAACUGGUGACUGGGGCUAAGUCA